CGGCGCCGUCGGCGGGCCUUGAAAGUACCCGUCGUUGAAAGGAUUCGUUACAGUUCCUGCAAGAACGGUGGCCAAAUUGAUGAUCAUUCCGUCAAUACCAACGUCGCCGUUAGGAGCGAUUAGCGGGGGCGUCUGAGGGCCGUAAAUAGGCUGAUAAAACGGCCAAGCACAGUACCCAGGGCACUGAGUUUCAGAGUUUCCGACCCACACAUAUGCCGUUCUUGCCCUGCUCCGACCUACCGGAACUGACCCAUGAGUCCCGCACCGGCUCCGGCAGAAUCCAUCAACGGUAACAUCCUUCGCCGUCAGCACCAAGUUAACAGAAUUUAACUGAUUGACUUUCCUCGCCAAAGCCCUAAGAUGCAGGUCCUUCAGAUUUUUCCCCAAAGUGUAAGACUCGUGAAGAAACUGCUUCCCGACGACGAGAUUCGACGACCCGCCUUUGUAUUUCUCCGUUGUCUUCCACCAGAGAGACGCCGACGGUGCCGGAGCUUGAGAAUAGCUUAAAGAUUGAAUGAAAUCCACGAUUACAGAGCGCUGUGAGGAUGUGAAUUGGCCGUACCAAAUCAAAUUGACGGUGAUAUUCCCUUUCAGAAGAGAACCCUUGUGGUACUCAAG
rnacentral:misc_RNA from 1 species